GACAUAUCUCAUUUCUGAAAGAGAUAGCAUUGUAGAUCUGGACGUUUCAUCACAUAUUCCCAGGAAAGCCCAGCCAAAUGCAGCUGGCACUGUGCCAGACAUUGGGCUAGGUGCUGGGAAUUGAAAUAAUAAACUAUUUCCUGAUUUCUCUUCUCUCUUCUGGAGAAAGAAUUGGAUUAGAACAAGAUGAUACGCUGAGAACCAAAUCUACCCUGUCAGCUUACUCUUCAAGAACAAGCCAAGCAACUGAAAACUGAGUCCACGCUCAGCUAAGUCAAAGCCCAGGGGAUUACUGGCAUCACCACCCACCCCACCUGGAGCAUGACAAUGUCUGUGAGAGAAUAAGAGAUGGGUGGUGUCACCACUAUCUUUCUCUUUCUGUUCUCCAAAUUAUAAUAAUAACAGUCUCUUUUCCUCCUCUAAACAUUUUUUAUAAAGGAGGUUGAACUCAGUUGAAAUAUCUUGAAAUUACUGUGGCUGGUUUACAAGCCACUCUGGAAAGUUAUGCUCUGGCAUAAAUUUAGCAGCUAUGUUUUACUGUAAAAAGAAACCCAGGGACAUAGCUUAUUAAGAAAAUGUGGUCAAAGUGAGAAUUUUCUUUGGUUUUAUGAAUAAAUAUAGAUAUUAUAUUACAAAAUUAGAUUUAUAUCGUUGAGCUUGAUACUAGACAGUAAAUAUUAUUUCUUAGGAAAAGGUUAAUACAUCAUUAAAUUUUAAAAGUUGAACACAAAAUCUCUAACAAAUUAAAUUUAAAUAUUUCCAUUUCAAUAUCAUUGCAGACAGUUCAUGGUAGUGAAGUACAUUGAGAAAACUUGUUCUUUAAGAAAACAAACUUCUGGGUAAAAGAUAGUAAUAUAUCAGCAAAAAAAGAUUUUUAUCAAGAGGGUUGAAGGCUAUAGCAUCAUCAAGGUAAAGAUCAAAUAGCAUGGAGGCUAAAAUAAACCUGUGCUUUUUUGAGCGGGUGGUCAAUAGAAAUUGGCUCUGUUGCUGGAGAUCCUGAAUUUUAAAUUCUGGUGAUCAGGCCAGUAAUAUGCUGAUGAAGCAGAAAUGUCACAGCAUAUUUUACCAAGUCAAAGACAGGCAACAGUUAUGAGAGGGACAUGGAGAACCUGGUAGAGCUCUGUGUACUAUGCUGAAUUAAUAAAUAGAGAACUAACUUAAGGUGGACAAAACUGCUGGGUGUCUCUCAGGCUUCUAAUGUUUUCAAAAUGUAUUUGAAGACUUAAAGCCUUAUAAUAAUAAGAAGAAGAGUAGUCCAAGUUCUGUUUAUUUCCUUUUAAAAGGAGUCAACACUUGAGGAGACAAUUCUGUACUCCCACAACAGGAAAAAUGCAUCCUUUUACCGUGUGAAUAAUUGAACCAGAGUCAUUGCCCACUCUUCAGGAAAUAGCUCAUGUAAACUUUUGGCCGACCUGUGCUUCACAGUGCACUUACCUCUUGACAUCCACCUCUGUAAACUUUUAUUUGUAUUACCAAAUAUUGACUGCAAACAAAAAAAAAAAAAAGGAAGAAAAAGGAACCUCCCUUAUACAAUUACAGAACGUUAGAGCAAAAGAGAACUGAAAGAUGAUCUUGUGCAGGCCACCAUUUUAUAGAUGAAGAAACAAAAGCACAGAGUGACUUGCUAAUGCUUCACCAAGCUGGCACAGCCUGGCCUAGAGCUACAUUCCCCUGUGUCCCAGACCCACAUGCCAGCACCAACAUCAUGGAUCCUCUCUCUCUCUCUCUUUUGAGACAGAGUCUCACUCUGUUGCCCAGGCUGGAGUGUAGU